AAACCACAGUGAGGACAGUGCAUUCUAUAACCUUUGAAACGUUCUCAUGCUUCCCUGAAGCUUUCAAUUCCCUUUUCAGUGAAUCCAGAGAUAUCAUUUUGGAUUCG